rnacentral:rRNA from 5 species
GAUAUAAGGGCGUAUGGAGGAUGCCUAGACACUAGAAGGCGAUGAAGGUCGUGGCGUGACUGCGAUAAACUUCGGGGAGCCGUCGAGCGGGCUUUGAUCCGGAGGUAACCGAAUGGGGCAACCCAAUAUGACAAACUCAUAUUAUCUCGCGUAAGCGAGAUGCGUACCUGGGGAAGUGAAACAUCUCAGUACCCAGAGGAAAAGAGAACGAAGUUAUCCCCUUAGUAGCGGCGAGCGAAAAGGGAACAGCCUAAACCGAUUUCAUAAUUUAUUAUGUCGUCGGGGUAAUAGGGAUAGUACAACUAAAAAUUUGAAUUUCGGUCUUCUUGAUCGAGAUUCAAGUUUUUAAAAGAAGUUACAAAUUCGUGCGUUAGCAGAAUGGCCCUGGAAUGGCCAACCAAAGAAGGUGACAGUCCUGUAAGCGAAAACAAACGAACUUCUGUAUUAUUUCCUGAGUAGCCCGGGAUAAGGAUGUCCUGGGUGAAUUUGUCCAUACUACUGGAUAAGGCUAAAUACUUCUAGUGAUCGAUAGUGAACCAGUACCGUGAGGGAAAGGUGAAAAGCACCCCGAUGAGGGGAGUGAAAUAGCAACUGAAACCAUAUGCCUACAAAGAGCAGGAGCCGUACUUUGCACAGAGAUCCUAAGUCCUAAACGAAUUGGAAAAUUGUUUAGAGUUUGGAAAUUAGAAUUUAGAGUUUCCGUGCAGGGUGCGGUGACUGUGUGCCUAUUGAAGAAUGACCCAACGAGUUUAUUUAAAUUACACUCUAAGUCCUUAUGGGACGAAGGGGAAGGGAAACCGAGUGUUAAUAGCGCGUCAUCCAACUUAAAUUUUUGGACUACGUAAGUUCAAAAAUUUAAGUUGGAUAUGUAGUUUGAGUAAGACCCGAAGCCAGGCGAGCUAACCAUGACCAGGAUGAAGGUUACCGAAAGGUAACUGGAGGUCCGAACCAGUUGGUAGCGCAAUACCAUUGGAUGAGUUGUGGUUCGUAGUGAAAAGCUUAUCGAGCUUGGUAAUAGCUGGUUCUCUCCGAAAUGCCUUUAGGGGCAGCGUUGCACAGUAGCAGAGGGGGUAGAGCACUGAAUGGUAAUCCGUGCCCUUUUGGGUAGGACUACCAAACAAACUCCGAAUACCUUUGUGGAAUGUGCGGCAGUGAGUAAGCGGGGGCAAAGCUUCGUUUACGCAAGGGAAACAGCCCAGAUCACCGCUUAAGGUCCCAAAAUUUAGACUAAGUGAAAAGGAAGUGUUUUGCCUUAGACAGGUAGGAGGUUGGCUUAGAAGCAGCCAUCCUUUAAAGAGUGCGUAAUAGCUCACUAUUCGAUCUCAUCGCAAGAUGAGGAGGCAAAGUGCGCCGAAAAUUUAUAGGGGCUAAGUCUAAUACCGAAAGCGUGGGUUCGGUGAUUUCAUAAAGGAAAGUUGUGGACAGAGAUAGUUCAAGGGAAGAACAUCUGGCCUCAUAAGCCAGAGAUACGUGGCUCAACUCCACGGCUCUGUCCCAUAAGUCGGGCGGGAACGACAAUCAAUUUCAUACAGAACCUGUCUGCCAGACACAGCGGGUUCCACGAUUGUUGUUUUCGUCCGACAACCUUUCAUCUCGUUCUUCGAGAUGUCCUUUAUGAAACCACCGAGCGGUAGGAGAGCAUUCUGAUCUGCUGUGAAGGUUCGCUGUGAAGCGGGCUGGAGCGGUCAGAAGGGAAAAUGUUGGGAUGAGUAACCGCAAGACCGGUUAAAGUCCGGUCCGUCGUAAGCCUAAGGUUUCCUCCGCGAUGGCAAUCAUCGGAGGGUUAGGCGUCCCUAAGGAUAACCGUGCUUUCGAGCGCGGGAUGCCGAUGGUGAGCCGGUUAAUAUUCCGGCCCCACUUAUGUAUAUCUGAUUGAGAUGACGGGCAACACAAGAUCAAGCACAUUAUUGGAUUUGAUGUUUUCCACCCAUAGACUUUCUACCAGGAAAAUCCGGUAGAGGCCGCAAGGCAAUGUCGAGGGUAGAAGAAAUCGUCGCAAGACGAGAUUUGAUCGAAGAGGGCUCCAAGAAAAGUCUCUAAUGUUAGUACAUGAGUGCACGUACCUAAAACCGAAACAGGUGGGCUGGUGUAAGUGCACCAAGACGAACGGGUGAUUAUUGGUUAAGGAACUCGGCAAAAAAGCGGCCGUAAGUUCGCGAUAAGGCCUGCCGCCGCAAGGCGGCCACAGCUAAAGAACCCCUGGCGACUGUUUAUCAAAAACACAACUCCGUGCUAAGCCGAAAGGCGCUGUAUACGGGGUGACGCUUGUCCGGUGCCGGAACGUUAACGGUGGAGGUGGUAUGUCGCAAGAUGUACUGCUGACGCCCGAAGCGCCGGUGAACGACGGCAGUAACUAUAACUGUCUAAAAGUAGCAAAAUACCUUGUGGGGUAAGUUCCCACGCGCAUGAAUAGCGGAACGACUGGGGGACUGUCUCAACCAAUAGCCCGGUGAAAAUGCAAUGUCGGUAAAGAUGCCGACUUCCCGCGCCAAGACGGAAAGACCCCGGAAGCUUCACUGCAGCUUGGUAUUGGUCUACGAGUUGUUAUACGUAGCGUAGUGAGUAGGAUUUGAAGCCACACUCUCGGGUGUGGUGGAUCCGCCAAUGAAACACUCAUUUUAACGAUUUGUAGCUCUAACCGGUAACACCCUAAAAGGGUGGGACAAUAAAAGCUAAAGUAAGCUCCUGGUGAUAGAUUUAUUACUGAGAAUUUUAGUAAUCAAUCUUAUGGAGUUAUUUUAGAUUUUAUCAAUGUCUUACUUUUCUAGGGUGUUAUCGAGACAGUGCCUGGCGGGCAGUUUAAGUGGGGCACUUUCCUCCCAAAAAGUAAUGGAGGAGUUCAUCAAGGUUGGCUAGCUCCGGAUGGAAAUCGGAGCGAUAGUGUAAAGGCACAAGCCAGCUUUACUGCAAGGCGGAUAUGCCGCGCAGUUGCGAAAGCAGGACCUAGUGAACCGACUCUAACUCGUAGGAGUGGAGAAGAUCAUCAGAUAAAAGCUACUCCGGGGAUAACAGGCUGGUACUGCCCGAGCGUUCACAGCGACGGCAGUGUUCGGCACCUCGAUGUCGGCUCGCCCUAUCCUGGGACUGAAGAAGGCCCCAAGGGUUUGGCUGUUCGCCAAUUAAAAGGGUACGCGAGCUGGGUUCAAACCGUCGUGAGACAGGUUGGUCCAUAUCUGGCGUGGGCGUUGAAUAUUUGAGAGGGGUUGUCCCUAGUACGAGAGGACCGGGACGAACAAACCUCUGGUGAACCAGCUGUUCUGCCAAGAGCAUCGCUGGAUAGCUAUGUUUGGUUCUGAUAAGCGCUGAAAGCAUAUAAGCGCGAAGCAGGCCUCAAGAUGAGAUAUUCUGGAUCCCUUGUAGACUACAAGGUUGAUAGGACUCAGGUGUAAGCACAGCGAUGUGUUCAGCCGAGAGUUACUAAUUGAUCC